rnacentral:rRNA from 1 species
GACGAACGCUGGCGGCGUGCUUAAUACAUGCAAGUCGUGGGGCAGCAUGAAGUAGCAAUACUUUGAUGGCGACCGGCAAACGGGUGCGGAACGCGUACACAACCUUCCUUUUAGUGGGGAAUAGCCCAGAGAAAUUUGGAUUAAUACCCCGUAACAUAGCGAUGUGGCAUCACAUUGCUAUUAUAGCUUCGGCGCUAGAUGAUGGGUGUGCGUAUGAUUAGAUAGUUGGCGAGGUAACGGCUCACCAAGUCUACGAUCAUUAGCUGAUGUGAGAGCAUGAUCAGCCACACGGGCACUGAGACACGGGCCCGACUCCUACGGGAGGCAGCAGUAAGGAAUAUUGGUCAAUGGACGAAAGUCUGAACCAGCCAUGCCGCGUGAAGGAUUAAGGUCCUCUGGAUUGUAAACUUCUUUUAUAUGGGACGAAAAAAGGUCUUUCUAGAUCACUUGACGGUACCAUAUGAAUAAGCACCGGCUAACUCCGUGCCAGCAGCCGCCGUAAAAC